CGCCUGUGUACGUAGUUGGAAAGCACCCUCUCACUCCUAGAGAAACGGUACCACCGACCAUCGUUUUCGGUCUACCUACUGGUUCGGCGGCUGUAGAGCCAACCGGGACACUCGCAGUUUUCCCAGGAAGCAUUCUACACCUAGAUUGUCUCUUCGCAAGAAAACUGGGUAAUCCCGAGUGGACGUGGACAUCGACUCACCGACGAUAUUUGACAGGAUGGGCAAUUGCUGCGCGGGAAAGAAACUGGAAGUAUCGCCUCUCGAUAUACUAUGCCAAGCCUCAAGAUUCAGGAAUGUACACGUGCUCCACUCCCAAAGGAUUGAUCAACUCUAUACAGGUUCAUG